UACGGAGGGUGCAAACGUUGCUCGGAAUCAUUGGGCGUAAAGCGCACGUAGGCGGCCUGUUAAGUCGGGUGUGAAAGCCCUGGGCUCAACCUGGGAAUGGCGAUGGAUACUGGCUCGCUAGAGUGCGGUAGAGGAGAGUGGAAUUCCCGGUGUAGCAGUGAAAUGCGUAGAUAUCAGGAGGAACACCGAUGGCGAAGGCAGGUCUCUGGGCCGAUACUGACGCUGAGGAGCGAAAGCGUGGGGAGCGAACAGG
rnacentral:rRNA from 1 species